rnacentral:rRNA from 1 species
AGAAUCAACGCUGGCGGCGUGCCUAACACAUGCAAGUCGAACGGGAAAGUGGAGCAAUCCAUGAGUAUAGUGGCGACCGGGUGAGUAACACGUGACUACCUACCCUUGAGUGGGGGAUAACCUCGGGAAACCGAGGCUAAUACCGCAUAAUAUCGAAAGAUCAAAGGAGUAAUCCGCUUUUGGAGGGGGCGCGGCUGAUUAGCUAGUUGGUAAGGUAAUGGCUUACCAAGGCGAAGAUCGGUA